GGAGGGGUGUCCGAGCGGUUGAAGGAGGCGGUCUUGAAAACCGUUGGUCCUUGGCGGGUCCCGUGGGUUCGAAUCCCACCCCCUCCGCCA
rnacentral:tRNA from 1 species